CGCCUCCUGCCCAUAUAAAAAUAUAGGAGGUCCCGCCUGCCCUGUGACCAAAAGUUUAACGGCCGCGGUAUUUUAACCGUGCAAAGGUAGCGCAAUCAAUUGUCUUUUAAAUGGAGACCUGUAUGAAUGGCAUAACGAGGGUUUAACUGUCUCUUUUUUCUGGUCAAUGAAACUGAUCUACCCGUGCAGAAGCGGGUAUACCCACACAAGACGAGAAGACCCUAUGGAGCUUUAGACGCCCACCAACCAUGAAGAGCACCCUGCCUAACAGGCCCCCAAACUACAUGGCCCUGGUAUAAACGUCUUCGGUUGGGGCGACCACGGGGGAAAGCAAAGCCCCCGAGAGGAUUGGGGGAAACCCUAAAACCAAGAGCCACAGCUCUAAGUCACAAAAUAUUUGACCGACAAUGAUCCGGCUUUUGCCGAUCAACGGACCAAGUUACCCUAGGGAUAACAGCGCAAUCCCCUCCCAGAGUCCAUAUCGACGAGGGGGUUUACGACCUCGAUGUUGGAUCAGGACAUCCUAAUGGUGCAGCCGCUA
rnacentral:rRNA from 1 species